rnacentral:piRNA from 1 species
UCGAGAAUGUUGGCUGAAUGAAGGAGGCUU